UCUAUUUCAGUAGAGCGUAUGAUGUCGAUGGCCCGAGGUAGAGCACUCAAUGGGCUAGGGUGGCCCCCAUUUCGCUUUACCAACCCCAGGGAAACUCCGAAUACAGGCCGUCAUCCUUAGUACAGACAGACUGAUUGGGUGCUAAGAUCCAAAGUCGAGAGGGAAACAGCCC
rnacentral:ncRNA from 1 species